GGUCUGCGGGAGCGGGGCGGUCUCCGCCGGCGUCGCGCGCGCUGUGUGUGAGCGGGGUCGCGCGCGCGCGGCAGGCGAGUGAGGGAACGAGGAGCGGCCGGGUGUGAGUGUGUGGGAGUGAGAGUGUGUGGGAGUGGGGUGAGGGAGAGGCUGACGGGACGCGAGGCUGUGAGAAACUGGGCGAGUGUGCGAGGACGCCCGGCCAGCCUGCGGGAGCCGGGGUCGGCGUAGGAGAAAGGAGGCGGCUCCCGGUAUCCCGACCCCCUCCCCCUCCUCUCCUUCCCCCCACUUCCAGCCGCCCGGCGGCCCGCGCUUCCUCGAAGGCCCCAGCCCGGCUCAGUCGGCCGAGAGCGAGGGAGGAGCCCCCCGAACCAGGUGCUGGAGUCCGCUUGUCAGGGAGGGGGGCAGUCUGUGAUUCUGAGAACAGAGCCAAGAAGGGGAACAGCAAAUUCAGUCACAUACAAUCCUCCACUCAGUCAAGAGCCACUUUCCUCUUCCUGCCUUGCCCCCCGCAGGGGGUAAGGAACUGAGCGUUUAAUCUUUAGCCCAUUGGCUACCAGCUAAAAUUCUACUUAGUUUCUAGUGGAUAGCUUUCUUAUUUUGCCCAUGUUUCUUUAGAAUCCCUAUUUAAUAUACUUUUGUCAGUAGUAGCAUCUAGGAGUAGCAGGGAGAGUGACAAUAAAUUAGCCCCUUCUUUUUUCCCUUCUCAUUCAGGCCCCUUUUCCUCUCCAGAGGGAAAUUACCAGUAAACUCUUCUAAAUCUUCCACCCCUUCUCAGUCAUACUGUGAAGAAACACACUAAAGUGGACAUUAUUUGACCAGUGAACACGAACCCAGCUUCAGGCAUCGGUUUGUUGUGGCACAUGGAGAAAUAUCUCUUUUAAAAUAUCUCCCAAUUACCCUUUUCACAAUUUGUAUCCACCUAGGAUUUGCUGCUGGGGUAAGUCACUAGAUUUAUUUCUCAAAGCUCCCCUCUCUAUGAGCUGAAAGACUGACCAACCAUGAACACUGGUAGGGGAUGGGGAAAGGGGACAGAGCAGAGCCAGUUGUUCCACAGUUUGGGAAGCAGGAGUAGCUUUUAUCAUCUUCCUCUGGGGGAGCAGGCAUAGAGACAUAAACUGAGUGAAAAUGGGUGGAGGAAGAACUUCUAUACCCACGAACAACAUGUGAAGAGAGAGAACCAAACAUAAAGUAAGGAGGGUAGACGUUACAUCCAAGAGGAAAUAAUCCAAGCAAGGAAGCACAAGCUGAUCAACAUGUGUAGUUCUGUGGCUGCCAAAUUGUGGUUUUUGACAGAUCGUCGCAUCAGGGAAGACUAUCCUCAGAAAGAGAUUUUACGAGCAUUGAAGGCCAAAUGUUGUGAGGAGGAGCUGGACUUUAGGGCUGUGGUGAUGGAUGAGGUGGUGCUGACAAUCGAGCAAGGAAACUUGGGUCUGCGGAUCAAUGGAGAGCUAAUCACUGCCUACCCACAAGUGGUGGUAGUCAGAGUACCAACCCCUUGGGUGCAAAGUGAUAGUGACAUCACUGUUUUGCGCCAUCUAGAGAAGAUGGGAUGUCGGUUAAUGAACCGACCUCAAGCCAUCCUGAACUGCGUUAAUAAGUUCUGGACAUUUCAAGAGUUGGCUGGCCAUGGUGUUCCUCUGCCAGAUACCUUCUCUUAUGGUGGCCAUGAAAAUUUUGCUAAAAUGAUUGAUGAAGCUGAAGUACUGGAGUUCCCAAUGGUAGUAAAGAAUACGCGGGGUCAUAGAGGUAAAGCUGUUUUCUUGGCUCGAGAUAAGCACCAUUUGGCUGAUCUAAGCCAUCUUAUUCGCCAUGAAGCGCCAUACCUGUUCCAGAAGUAUGUUAAAGAGUCUCAUGGACGGGAUGUACGUGUCAUUGUCGUGGGAGGCCGUGUGGUUGGCACCAUGUUACGUUGUUCAACAGAUGGGAGAAUGCAAAGCAACUGCUCAUUAGGUGGUGUGGGGAUGAUGUGCUCAUUGAGUGAACAAGGGAAGCAGCUAGCUAUCCAGGUGUCUAACAUCCUGGGGAUGGAUGUGUGUGGCAUUGACCUGUUGAUGAAAGAUGACGGCUCCUUCUGCGUCUGUGAGGCCAAUGCAAAUGUAGGUUUCAUCGCCUUCGAUAAGGCUUGUAAUCUAGAUGUAGCUGGUAUCAUAGCAGACUAUGCCGCCUCCCUUCUACCCUCUGGCCGGCUCACCCGGCGUAUGUCCCUGCUCUCCGUGGUGUCCACUGCCAGUGAGACUAGUGAGCCGGAGCUGGGUCCCCCAGCCAGCACUGCUGUUGACAACAUGAGUGCAAGUUCCAGCUCUGUUGACAGCGACCCUGAAAGCACGGAGCGAGAGCUGCUCACCAAGCUCCCAGGGGGCCUGUUCAACAUGAACCAGCUGCUAGCCAAUGAAAUCAAACUACUGGUGGACUGACUCCACUGGUAAUUAACCAACAAAACCCUUGUAAAACUUUCUUUUUGCUUUUCUAUUUUUAAAACCAACUUGCAAUGCUGUUCAUGGAGGAUGCUCAGGAAUAUGAGAGAAAAUUAGUAGGAUUAGUUGGAGAGAGUGGGAGAUAGAUGAGACCUCUGCUAGUAAGAUGUUACUUCAUUUACAAAUCCUACGAAUAGAGAGGCAGAAUAGGUAGGGUAUAGAAAAAUGUCAGGCUCUCAUAGUUACCCUUUUAAAUUGCUAAAAAAUGUGUAUGCUCAUAGGCCAUGAGGAACAAAUACUUUUUUUUUAUGGUCCCUUGCUUUUGUUUUUGUACAAAAAAAAAUGGUUUUGCUACAAAUAUCCAAGUAGCAAACUUCACAUUGUGUUGGAAGAUUUGUCAUCGGCGAGGAAAACACCUGCUUAAAUUACAGGAAUUUUUGUGUUACACAGCUCUGAAAAUUCUGCCAUUUCCUUAUCUGCCUUUAGUUUGUAGUUUAUGAAAUCUUGAGGGGCUCUUUUACUGGGAUUUCUUAUUUUGCUUUUUCCCCCUUAAUUUGGUGGGAGGGUCAAAUUGAAUAUAACCCAAUAAAGGCUUCUUAAUGACAAAAUUGGCAUGUUUGCAUGAUGAAAUGGAAAUGAACAGUAUUGCAAUGUCCGGUAUACAAAAUAACAUUUAUUCAAUGUAGAUAAAAUUACACUAGUUUAAAAUAUGUGCAUUGACUUGUAUUUGUUAGUGUUUUAGUCUUUUUUGAAAGAUGUGCUCUGUUAAUGUUGCUUUUUUUUUUUAAUACAUGCUAGUCUAAUAUUUCCUGCUCUAUGCCUGCAUCUAUAACAAUGGCCAAAGUGAAGAAAAUGCUACCUUUUUUGUUAACAAGACACUGACUUGAAACAUGUACAUUUAAAGCCUUUUAUUUUUUCCCUUUUUGUUUUGGUGGUUGGGCAUUUAAGGACAAGGAAAAAUAUUUUUGGGGGCAAAUCAAGAGCCUAUGAGUUCUAAGUAUAAAGCUGAAGUGAUUUCGAAUGCCAGCAUUAUAUAUUUGCAUUUUUCACAUUUUACGAGGGAGUAUAUAUGUAUGUGUGUGCACGCAUGCAUGUGUAUGUGUUUUGCUUUUUGUUUACAUCAACUAAUCAAAAAGGAUAAUUUAGAAAAUGGAGCAUGAUGGGAAACAGAGUUUUUGACUUUAAAAAACAGAUGAGUUGUUUUCAUAAGUAGACUCCACUGGGGUAGAGGUAUUCACCUUAAAACAUAGGGUGAAUAGAUGCUUUUUUAGGCCUUUUUGUGUGUAUGUACGUUGUUUGUUUUUUUCUUUGUUUCCAGCCUGUUCAGUGUACAGUUUAUUCAAGGCUACAUGCUUUUCUUUAAUGCUUCUGGCUAUGCAUUUUCUCUUUUUACAUAUAGGAUUUGGGAUUGGGGGUGGGUUGGAUGUUUUUGUUUGGGGACUUAUUUAGUAGUAUUGAGUCUCUUAUAGCCCUACUCUUAAGCCUUCAAUACUGUCCACUCUUUAUAUUCCUUUACUUGCAGAAUUUAUAAAAGCCCCCAAACUGCAUAUAAUAUGAGCCUUUAAAACAUGGGUAAAACUAAUCCCAUUGAUGGGUUUGGAUGGUAUGUUAAGAAAUGGAGAUGCUGCAGAGCCCAACGUAAUUUUUUAAACAGCAAGUUUUCCAUCUCCCUACAAAUCCUCUGAAGCUUUUACCCAAGCCCUUUCUUGCCUCUCCAGUGCUAUUUUCCUUCAGAUGGACGUUAAACAUAAUUUCUUGGACACUACUAGAGAGACUUCGAGGCAAUAAUAAAAGAUCAGUAUUAACCAGCUAUAACAGAGGUUUGAUCAUGCUUACUUGUACAGUUUUUCCCCCGUUUUAAAAAAAGGAAUGUAAUAAAAUUUGUUUUUUCCAUAGAAUUAAAUAAUAUUAAAAUUGAGUGAAAGGUUGAUUGUUGAUGAACAGAAUAGUACCUCUCAUCUGUGCAGUGUCUCAUUUCACCUCAGAGAAAAGGAUACAUAAGAGGAGUUUGUAAUUUAUCUUAGGAUAUUCUAAUUGCAUUUAAAAGAACUUAUCUUGCACAGGGUAAAUGGGGGACUCACAUACAUAUAUUAGUACCUCUGACUCAUUAACAGAAAGAAAUACUUGGUACUUCUUUCACUGAAUGACCAUACUGUGGAGGAUGCAUACUAUUUGGUAUAGAGAAAAUGAGGAAGAAAGAACUGCUUAAUUAAAUCAUCAUUCAUAUGUUCAUGUAGAGACCAUCUGGUUGCCAUGUGUGUUAUGACACAUACACUUUGAAUAGUUAUAUAUCACAAGUAUGUAGAUUAAUACAUUUAAAAACAACCUCUUUAUUCAAUGAAAAGUUCAUGUUUGUGUUGGUGGGGUAAGGCAUCAGGAAAAAUGUAGUUAGUCUUUUCUUAACUUAUACCAAAUUAACCAACUAUAUUAUAGGAAAUAUGUGAAAUUAGUUCAUUAGCUUUAUUCACUAUUAUGCAUUCACAUGAUAUUAAAACGUACACUCACAUGUUAGAAUGAAAAGAGCAGUAGUUAGCUUAAAUUUUAAAAACAUGGAUAUCUUGAAUUCCUUCAAGAUGAAGGUAAAGAAUAAGAGCAAAUCAUUCUGGAAGUACCCUAAGGAAACAGCAGCAGAUAUUUAGGUUAAAUUUAUUUUCAUAAUUGUUUAAUAACUUUUGUAUAAUCUUCAUUGCUAUUAUGAGAUAAAAUGUAUAUAUCAAAUAUGUGUAAUCAUAAAAUCUGAAUUGUAAAAUUUUUGUAUAUUGUUAAAAUUGUAAUUCUAAAUUGUAUUUCAAAAAUAAUUAUUUCUGAUAUUGUUUUUAUGUCACCCAUGAUGAAAACUGGACUUUAUAUAUCUAAACAUAUAAGUAUGAACUAUUCGAUUUAAAAUUUUUCAUAGUUUUCUUUUUUGGUGCCUAUAAUUGAUUGGUCAUUUCUGCUGGCUUUUCACCAAUGAACACUGAAAUCUUUCUGUAUAUGUUAUCAAUAAGAAAACUACCCUGGAACAGUAGAAAAACCCAACAAGAGACUUGGCAUUCAUCGAGCACAUUAUCAGACUUUGAGAAGAUAUUGAAGGCAUUGACUUUGAAAAUCAUCUUUUUCUCGAGAAGAAAGCAAUGAAGAAGCAAAUUUGCUUCAUUCAGUGAAUCCCCAGUUUGGGGCUUAUGGGGCUUAGAGACAUUGUGAAAUCAAAUCUUGUGUUAUACUUUUCUCCUGGCUCACUUUUUUUGAGAAGGUUUAUGGGCUAUUUGGCUGGUGAGACACGAUCCCCUCCUAAGAAAAUGUAGGUGCUCAGACAGGUAACCACUGCUGCUACUGUUUUUAUUUGUUUGUUUGUUCAAUUUUAUUUAAGAUUUGUUUUUGUUGUACUAGGAUUUUUAAAAAUGUAAUAUAUUGCAGGAUUUAUAACCAGGUUCACUGACUGCUUGCUUGCUUUCUUUUUUUUUCUUCUUCUUAAAAAAACAAAACAAAGUUUCAUUUAAAAUACAUUUAGGCACCUUUGGAGCUUGGAUUUUGGAAUGUUUCAGUAGUGGACAGAAAUCUGCUGUUGGAAUCUUCUAGUCUUCCAGGUUUAAUUUGAAAUGUUUUUAGUUUUGUUUUGGAUUUUUGUGUGGUAUUUUAUUUCCUUUAUUACCAAUGCCAUUUUGCCAUGCUGUUUUGGGGUGGCUGCCUAACUCUAGUGAAAAUUAUUUCUAUAUUAACGAAAGUUUGGCCUUUGAAGAUCCUUAAUGUUUUGCAUUUUUUACAUUGUUUUUAAAGAAAUAUUCUAACUGCUUGCACUGUUACUGUUCUUUACCAGCCUUUUCAGGAGCCAAAAAAACAAAUACAAACAAACAAAAAAAUACCCAGAGAACAAACUUUCCUUCUUCCCCCUUCCUGAUGAUGAGUGAGAAGUAUUGAGAACUUUCGGGGUCAGUGCCCUUCUAAACUCCCCUUCCCCCAAUAAUGCAGCUGUAUAAUGAACGGUAAAUGCACCGGUUUGGAUUCAGGCACAGCCCCAGUCUGCCUGCAGGUGGCGUAUGUGUUCGUGUUUUAAUGUAUUCAGAGCCAUUGGGCAAUAAGCAGUCCAGAACAUUGAAAACUCAAGCAGGUAAAGCACCUAACACCCUUAGUUUCUAGAAUUACUUUAAAAAACUUUUAUAUUGCUGCAUCUUCCACAGUUCUUUGGGUAGUCUCUGAACUUAAAAUUUGUAGGAGUUGUAGACUGCCUACUUAAAUUUUUAAGUUAUGGUAUUUGUUCAUAGAUUGUAGGGGUAGGUAAAGAAGGAAACAUAAGAAAAUGUCUUCUUGAGGUGGCAGCUGCUGAGUGGCUGAAUCUUACCACUUUCUGCUUUUUUUGGAAAUUUUCCCAGCUUAGCAUGAACAUUGAUCAUACAGUGUUUGAUUUUCUGUGAUUGAGAUUUUUGUUUUUUAUUUUCGGAGGGAAGGUCUUGGAGAAACAUUAAGAAGUUUUUGUAUAUACAAAAAUACGAAAUGUUAAACAAAGGAAUUUCUUCUUAUUUAAUCUGAAUGGUAAGCAAGAACUCUUUCUAUAUACCCUUCUGCUGCAGCAGACAACUAAACUGGUAGGUGGCAGCAGAGGAAGGAAUUCUUCAGAUUGAUGGCUACUGACUUAAAGUCUGCAUAGGAGAAGAGAUAGAGCAUGACAUAUACCAAGUGAAGCAAGGGGGACAAAAAUGGAAACAGGACUAAGAUUCCUGCAUUUUGACUCUAAAUGGUUCUUUUGAAGUAACCAGUGAUCCUUUUUGCUUACCCCCAUCAACAGAGUGGAUGAAGAUAGAUUUGACUAUGUGCUCUUUCAAAGUGGAGAAUAUGAAUAUACAGAACAAGAAAGCAAUAACUCUAACCUGUUUGAUUCCGUCUGUUUUCUAAAUAAAGACACGAUGCACUGGAAAUAAAA